AGACAUCUUGCGGAUUAUGUGAUCAUUAUAUUGGAUAAACAAUGAUGCAAGGUAUGAUUUAUUUAUGAUUUUGAUUUUUUUUGUAUAAUCAUAAAAACACGAUCCAAAUAUAACACAUUAAAAUUAUCUAACAUGUGGUAUCAGAGCUCCGAUUUCAUGCUUCGUGUUCAUAUAAAAAUUUUUGAUUUAUUUUCAAAAUAUUAAAAUCAUAUUUUUUUUUAUUUUUUCAAAAUAAUUCAAAGUUUAGAAAAUUAAAUUAUAGUUUUCUUAAUUUCUUGCAAAUAAAUAUAAAAAAAAAUUUUGGGCCAACCUGUGAUGUUCAACGAUGGGGCAGCAGCCAUGGCCGGUGAACGGGG
rnacentral:lncRNA from 1 species